GACGAACGCUGGCGGCGUGCCUAAUACAUGCAAGUCGAACGAGAGCGACCGGUGCUUGCACUGGUCAAUCUAGUGGCGAACGGGUGAGUAACACGUGGGUAACCUGCCCAUCAGAGGGGGAUAACAUUCGGAAACGGAUGCUAAAACCGCAUAGGUUCUUGAGUCGCAUGACUUGGGAAGGAAAAGAGGCUUCGGCUUCUGCUGAUGGAUGGACCCGCGGUGCAUUAGCUAGUUGGUGAGGUAACGGCUCACCAAGGCCGUGAUGCAUAGCCGACCUGAGAGGGUGAUCGGCCACAUUGGGACUGAGACACGGCCCAAACUCCUACGGGAGGCAGCAGUAGGGAAUCUUCCGCAAUGGACGCAAGUCUGACGGAGCAACGCCGCGUGAGUGAAGAAGGAUUUCGGUUCGUAAAACUCUGUUGUUAGAGAAGAACAGCGCAUAGAGUAACUGUUAUGCGUGUGACGGUAUCUAACCAGAAAGCCACGGCUAACUACGUGCCAGCAGCCGCGGUAAUACGUAGGUGGCAAGCGUUGUCCGGAUUUAUUGGGCGUAAAGCGAGCGCAGGCGGUCAAUUAAGUCUGAUGUGAAAGCCCCCGGCUCAACCGGGGAGGGUCAUUGGAAACUGGUUGACUUGAGUGCAGAAGAGGAGAGUGGAAUUCCAUGUGUAGCGGUGAAAUGCGUAGAUAUAUGGAGGAACACCAGUGGCGAAGGCGACUCUCUGGUCUGUAACUGACGCUGAGGCUCGAAAGCGUGGGUAGCAAACAGG
rnacentral:rRNA from 1 species